rnacentral:rRNA from 1 species
AUUGAACGCUGGCGGCAUGCCUUACACAUGCAAGUCGAACGGCAGCACGGGAGCAAUCCUGGUGGCCAGUGGCGAACGGGUGAGUAAUAUAUCGGAACGUGCCCAGUCGUGGGGAUAACGUAGCGAAAGCUACGCUAAUACCGCAUACGAUCUAUGGAUGAAAGCGGGGGAUCGCAAGACCUCGCGCGAUUGGAGCGGCCGAUAUCAGAUUAGGUAGUUGGUGAGGUAAAGGCUCACCAAGCCGACGAUCUGUAGCUGGUCUGAGAGGACGACCAGCCACACUGGGACUGAGACACGGCCCAGACUCCUACGGAGGCAGCAGUGGGGAAUUUUUGGACAAUGGGCGCAAGCCUGAUCCAGCAAUGCCGCGUGCAGGAUGAAGGCCUCGGUUGUAAC